rnacentral:sRNA from 1 species
AAUAUAAUAGUGGUGCAGUAUCCUAGUCAGUUCUACCCAAUCGUAAGACGGGCCUAAAAAUCCGUUAAAUGGCACAUCGAUGAAGUUCCUGGUGUCGCGCUUUGAACGCCCAGUUUGGGGCGGAUGCUGGGAGUUAAGGUUUAGGGGCAGGAUUCAAUGGCAUGAAUACUCUGACCCCUUUUCCGUGGAGGCCUAUGACUGUGGCAGCCCCUGACGCUCUUUUUUAAGGCGCAAGCUGUUACGGCAUAGGGGAAAACCUGCUAUGCGGUAAGUAACACAGGCUUCUCAAAAAGAAGUCUGUGCGAGUGCUGUGAGCAGCGUAGCCUGCCUUGAGUGGGUAUGGCGGAUGGAUGAUUCAUCCCCCUAUUGCAUCGGCCAAUGCAACGGGGGAAUCGCAUGCUGAAACCAUAUCUGCAAAAGAGGAUAAGGUUGGGUGUGACUGCUGGGGAAAACCCCUAGGCUGUUGCGUUUUGCAGGUCUUUAAGGGAUUGCAAUACGGACUAAGUGGCAGUCCAGUAAUCUGUGUGGUGACGCAUGGAUAGCAGGGUUUAAAGGGAAACCGCUCUUUCGGCAACGAUUGAGCACCCUGUUGGGAAAGCCAACUGGACCUUAAGCCGUAAAAUUUACCUUAUGGACUGCCUCUGUUAUAUU